UACGUAGGGUGCGAGCGUUGUCCGGAAUUAUUGGGCGUAAAGAGCUCGUAGGCGGCUUGUCGCGUCGGAUGUGAAAGCCCGGGGCUUAACUCCGAGUCUGCAUUCGAUACGGGCAGGCUAGAGUUCGGUAGGGGAGAUCGGAAUUCCUGGUGUAGCGGUGAAAUGCGCAGAUAUCAGGAGGAACACCGGUGGCGAAGGCGGGACUCUGGGCCGAUACUGACGCUGAGGAGCGAAAGCGUGGGGAGCAAACAGG
rnacentral:rRNA from 1 species